GGCCUGCGGGAGCGGCCGGGGGUCAGAGCCGGGCGCGGGACGAACCCCCAACACCGACCCGGUCCCAGCUCUGACCCCGGUUCCCCGCUCCCGGUUCCCGUCCCGCUCCCAUCCUUGGCCCUGAUCCCUAUUCCGGUCUCGACCCCCGCCGGUCCCAGCCACGAUCCUCAUCCCAGCGCCUGUCCCCGAACCUGGUGCCGUCCCGCACCUGCUCCCGGUCCCCGCCCCGCCGCAGUUCCGCUCCCGGUCCCCCCCGCCCCGCUCCCAGCCCCGGCCUUGUCCCGGUCCCGUCCCGCACCUGCAGCCCCCACCAGUGCGCUCCCACGCACCCCGCGUAGUGCCCGAGCUGCAGCGUCACCACGUCCCCCGGCAUCGCGGCCCCGUCCCGCUCCCGUUCCCGCCGCCGCGCCUGCGCGCCCCGCCCCGGAACUGCGUCACAGCAGAGCCCCGCCCCCCCGGCGCCUCAAAACGGACACGGACACCGGAGCCGCUGCCGCUGCCGCCGCCUUUAUUGCGCUAGAGCGGCCCCGCCAGCCGGUCCAGCUGCCGCGGGUUGGAGCCGCUCAGGAACCGCAGCUCCUCCUUGCCGGCCUCCGUGUGCGCUGCGGGACACAAGCGCUCAGCCUCGGGGACUGAAACGCCCAGACCCUUCCUUGCUGCAACAAGACAUAAAGGCACAGAAAGGAACAGAACGCUCUCCGUUGCGGGAGGAACGCGGUGAUACCGUCAGAGAUGGCGUCUUACCGGGCUUUUGUCUUCCUUCUUCAACGUGGUCCUUCCCCAGAGCGCGUUGACGCCGUCCACGGCCACCAGGAGCCGGAAGGGGCCCAGACGGCUCUGCUGCUUCAGCUCCUUGAGCACCACGCCGACGGCGUCGCUGGCGUUCCUCACCCGCGCCAAACCCUGCGGGGAGGAGACGGCGCAGAACCCAGGUUGGUUCCCGUGUUAGCGCCGGGAGCUUCGGGCGCUGUCUGCCCUUGUUCAGCAGGAGGAGGAUCAAACGGUUUGUUGUGCCUCGCAAAGAAACAAUCUGGUGUUUGUAAGGUAUUUAGGAGCAAUUUGUUCUGCGUACACGACGGGGAAUUGGAAUGAAAGGUGAGAAAGCAGGAGCGCCUGCUGUUCCUCACCUGCUCCACCACCUCAGCCAGCGGCCUGCCCGCCUCCGUGCGGUCUCGUCUGCCCCACAUGUAUUGCUUUUGUGUUUUUAUCUGCAGGAAGAGAACUGCGAUUAAACUGGGAGGUAAGGAGGAGCGGCUGAAACUCUUUCUUUUGCUAGAGAAAUGGAAUUCCAGCGCGGGGCCGGGUUUGUGGGUUAUAUGCAAUAGGAGGGUGUGCGUUAACACACGGAGCGUUGCUCAAAAAUGAGCCGGUCUCCAAUGUCGGGAAGCACGAGCACACACAGUCCCCAGGAGAUGAUCCUGCGGGUGGGUUUUAGCUACAAACCUCUUUCAGGAAGCGCCCGUUGGAGGUUUUGAAGUUCUUGAGCCAGGACGACGCUUGCAAAGGCUGAUCCAGCCGCUCCUUGUUGUAGGAAGAUUGCAAAAGCUCCCUGCAGUUUUUCACCCAGAGAUGAGCUGGAAGCAAAAGCAAACGUGCUGGUUUUUGCUGUGACUCACCCUGUGCUUCCCACCCGAAGGAGCGUCUCGCAGAGCGGCGGCUGCGUUUGCGGGACGCGGGGUCGGUGCUCUCACCGUCCGGGACGUGCAGCACCAGCCAGCCCUGCCGGGCGCAGUAGUGCACCAGGUGACACAGCGUCAUGGUCUUCCCCGUUCCCCUCUCGCCAUCUCCAGCGCGGACUGUCAAGGAAAGUCUCUAGAAAACCACUUCAGAUCCUACUCGACCGUUAAUUCUUUCACAAAAGGCGUAAAGGACGUUGGAAGGUUGAAAAGGCAGGGGUGGAAUUCCAUCCUGCGGCAAACCCUAAAGAGUUUCUUCUCUUCGUAUCCUCCCACCCCACUACACCAGAGCUGAUGUUUCCCAUUUCCUUAGUUGUGCUGAAAGCCCCAGAUAAACCAAAUCUGGCUUAAAAUGAAAGUAUUUGAGGGUCGUGAACUUCUCAGACAAGCUUUGCUGGCAACAGAACCACCUCCUGAAGACUAAACCGCAGCAGGCAGCACAGGGUCAAACCAUCGCCCUCGUCCGCGUGAACUCACCCGCUUGCAGUUAAACUGCGUUCUACCGUCCAUAAGCGGUAAAAAGAUACAGAUCACGUAUCUGACGGCCGGGUGCGCGAAGUUGGUGUUCCUCAGGUAAGUGAAAAGCUCCAGAGCGGGUUUCCGCACCAUCACGCAGGCUUCGUUGAAGGUCUUGAUCUGAGGAAAGGAGGAGAAGGUGGAGAAGCCGCGGGGAGCUGGCACGCGUGGCCCUUCCGUCACCUUCCCGUAGACUGAGGGGAGGCCGAGCGGCCUGUCAGUUAAUUACACAUCAACCACCUGGGUUAUUAACUAACUAUCUGUUCCUAAACCCAAGCAGGCAGUCUGCGGUAGCUGCCCGCAAAGCCUGACCCGCUCACAGCGUGGUCUGUCUUGCAACAGCUUCUCUCAUUGCCGAUAUAAACUUAAUUCACGAGACAACUUGUUUCAUACAGAAAUAUAACUGUGGAAAAGUAUUUGUGUAAUUCAGAACUUAGAGAUGAAAAAUAUUGGACAGAAUGUUGCUUAAGGUGGGAUCCUCAUGCCCCUCUGCCACUAUUCUGGUCCAGUUGACUCGUCUCUCUUAAUGUAGAAAACAACAGGAAGGAAUAACUGCAUUCUUGCAGCACAGCGCUCUCUUUUAUUCCAAUAAAGCAUCAGUUAUGUGA